AAUGCGAGGAAGCAAUCCCAUAAACCGUGGCUCAGUUCAGAUCGUAGGCUGCAACUCGCCUACGUGAAGGAGGAAUCGCUAGUAAUCGCAGGUCAGCAUACUGCGGUGAAUACGUUCCCGGGCCUUGUACACACCGCCCGUCACACCAUAGAAGUUGGCCACGCCCGAAGCCGUUACUCCAACCCUUGUGGAGGAGGACGUCGAAGGUGGGGCUGAUGACUGGGGUGAAGUCGUAACAAGGUAUCCGUACCGGAAGGUGCGGAUGGAUCACCUCCUAA
rnacentral:rRNA from 1 species